UGGGGAAUCUUGCACAAUGGGGGCAACCCUGAUGCAGCGACGCCGCGUGAGCGAUGAAGCCCUUCGGGGUGUAAAGCUCUUUCGGCAGGGAAGAUAAUGACGGUACCUGCAGAAUCAGCUGCGGCUAACUACGUGCCAGCAGCCGCGGUAAUACGUAGGCAGCGAGCGUUGUUCGGAGUUACUGGGCGUAAAGGGUGUGUAGGCGGUGCUCUAAGUGUGGUGUGAAAUCUCCCGGCUCAACUGGGAGGGUGCGCUACGAACUGGAGUGCUCGAGUGCGGGAUGGGAGAGUGGAAUUCCUGGUGUAGCGGUGAAAUGCGUAGAUAUCAGGAGGAACACCGGUGGUGUAGACGGCUCUCUGGACCGCAACUGACGCUGAGACACGAAAGCGUGGGUAGCAAACAGGAUUAGAUACCCCAGUAGUCCCUGAGCGGGCUGGCAAGGCGCAU
rnacentral:rRNA from 1 species